UACGUAGGGCGCAAGCGUUAUCCGGAAUUAUUGGGCGUAAAGAGCUCGUAGGCGGUUUGUCGCGUCUGCCGUGAAAGUCCGGGGCUCAACUCCGGAUCUGCGGUGGGUACGGGCAGACUAGAGUGAUGUAGGGGAGACUGGAAUUCCUGGUGUAGCGGUGAAAUGCGCAGAUAUCAGGAGGAACACCGGUGCGAAGGCGGGUCUCUGGGCCGAUACUGACGCUGAGGAGCGAA
rnacentral:rRNA from 1 species